rnacentral:lncRNA from 1 species
UAUAAUAAACAAAUAAAUAAAGUAAUAAAGUAAUAAAAAUAAUAAUAAUAAUAAUAAUACCUAAAAAGAAAACUAACUAUGUAAUACUAAAUAUUAUAAUCUCUAAAUCUAACAUUAUUUAAUUUAAACAAAUAAAUAAUAAUAAUAGUAAUAAAUUAACACAUAUAUAAAUAAAUAAUAGUAACAGUUUUGGAUUCCAACCAUUUGUAGAUAACGUUUUCCUUUUUUAAAAGUUUAUACAUAAAUAAUGUUCAUCCAUUUUCUAAAGUCAUAACAACAACAUUUCUCUGUGGAACGUCGGCAACGGAGUAAUGACUGGGAGUGGAAAAAGGGGAAAGAGGGGCGGCACUUGGUUCGCCAGCGGUUGAUCGGCGGAGGGUCGCCAGCGAAGACGACGCUGACGGUUUUUGCGGCUGUUUUCUGGUGGUUAUCCACCGGAUCUGGAGCAAAAGGAGAUCGGUUGUGAUCAUGGCUUGCCUGCGACGACCAGAUCUAUGAGAAGAGAGAGAUCUCGCAGUUUUUUGCCAUUUUCUGACGAAGAGGGUUACCGAAAUUGCGACGAGAUGGAUUGAUUUUGGGCUGAUUAUCACGGUUUCCAGCAAGUUGGUUCGCCGGUGGAAAGGGUCGACUAGUUUUUGAGUGGUUUCCAGCGAGUUGGUUUGCCGGUGGAAAGGGUCGACUGGUUUAAAAAUUGCUAAUUUCUCUCAUACUCCAUUUAACUAUUGACUUUCCUAUUUCUCUCUUGAUUUGUUUUCAUGAGUUUUUGAUUAUCACUCACCAUUCACUAUUUUCUACUUUUUCUUUAUUUUAGUGUGUAUGGAAAUCAGUGAGGUCUGUGAAUAUGUGUGUACCGUGUAUUGUUGUGUACUGCUUUUAUAUGUGCUAUAACGUUCAUAUAUCAGUACAAACUAUUUAUGAUCUGUUAUACAUGAUUUUAAAUAAAAAUUUAAACUCUACUCAUUUGAAUCAUCAUUUUUACACAAUAAAAAUAUUUAAAUAAUCAGAUAUACAAUAUAACUUAUAAUCACAAUCAUAUCAAUAAUCGAAUUCUUGCAUAUUGAAUAAUACAUGAAGUCACUGUAUUAAUAUUUACGAAAUAACAGUACAAAAGUGGAUAAGAACCUGUUGAUAAAUUAAAACAGAAACUCACACUGUCACCGGAAAUCCCAACAGACCUUCAACUUCAAUGCUUUUCCUUUUCUCCUUUUGUUUCUGAUGUUUACUUACUUUUUUUUUUAUGUUGGUUUUUUUGUUUUGUUUUUCACUUUCUUUUGUUCUUCCUUUUCUGAUGAAUGAAUUUACGAUUUUUUUUAAAUCUCUAUUUGAUGUCGUCCUCUUUUUUUUAUCUGGGUAGAGAGUCUUCAUAUAAUAGGACUAUUGGGAGGGAAUGGUUAAAAGUAGAUAAGGGGAGGGGGAAAAUUUAAAAUUUAAAAAUCUUUUCCCUUUUUCUUUUAGAAAAUAUUAGUAAUAAGAAUAAUAAAUAAAAUAAAAUAAAAUAAUAAUAACGAUAAAUAUAAUAAUAAUUAAUUAAUUUUAUAUUUAACAAAAUAUAAUAAAAAUUUAUAAAUAUANNNNNNNNNNNNNNNNNNNNNNNNNNNNNNNNNNNNNNNAAAAUAAUAUUAAAACUAUUAAUUUAUUUAUUAAAAUUUAUAAAAGAAAACAUAUAUUUUUAAUUUUUAUAUUAUUUAAAAUUAGAAUAAAAAUCAAAAUAAUAUGUGCUUAAAUAUAAAAAUAUAAUAUAUUUAAUAUUGAUAAACAAGUUAAAAUUUAGGGAUGAUAAAAAAUCAUGUAUCUACAUUUUUUUCCCUCUUCGUGUGAAAUUUUGAAGAGUUUUUAUACAAAGAACCAGACAAGAUAUGAUUUUUUAUCCUCCAAUUAUUUGAAUAAUAAGAAUAAAAUAAACUUAAAAUUAAAAUAAAAUAAAAAAAUGUGAUCGAGUCCUUGUUUUGGACAUCCUACCUAUCCCGGGUUAUAAGGGAAUCAGGUCACGAGUAGUUCAAAAGUAAUUUGGUGAGAGAAACAGUUCAAGUCGAGUAGGAUUCCGUCGAGUUUCCGGUUAACAACUUCUGCCAAUUGCAAUCUCUAGAAUCUUGAUUCAAGCCUUCGCGACUUGAAUUUGAAAAUUCACCCUAUUCUUCAGGCGGACUCUUGAACUUACAAUUUUUUCGCCCUGUUCUUCAGGCGGGCUCCUGAGCUUACAAUUUUAUCACCCUAUUCUUCAGGCGGGCUCCUGGACUUUCAAUUUCUUCACCCUGUUCUUCAGGCGAGCUCCUGGACUUACAAUUUCUUCACCCUGUUCUUCAGGCGGGAUCCUGGACUUACAAUUUCUUCACCCUGUUCUUCAGGCGGGCUCCUAGACUUACAAUUUCUUCACCUUGUUUUUCAAGCGGGCUCCUGGACUUAUAAUUUCUUCACCUUGUUCUUCAGGCGGGCUUCUGAACUUCUAAUUUCUUCACCCUGUUCUUCAGGCGAGCUCCUGGACUUAGUACUUCUUCACCCUUUUCUUCAGGCGAGCUCCUGGACUUAGUACUUCUUCACCCUUUUCUUCAGGCGGGCUCCUGGACUUCCAAUUUCUUUAUCCUGUUCUUCAGGCGGGCUCCUGGACUUACAAUUUCUUCACCCUGUUCUUCAGGCGGGCUCCUGAACUCAAAGCAAAUAGUGAAAUAGAAAAAUAACAUUCCAUUCUUCAGGAGGGUCCUGGAUAUAAAAUAAAUUCUUAUUCUUCAGGAGGGUCCUGAGCAAAAAAUUUAAUUCCCAUUCUUCAGGAGGGUCUUGAACAAAAAAUAAAUUAUCAUUCUUUAGGAGGGUCCUGAGCAAAAAAUAAAUUCCUUACAACACACAUUAAAUUUGUCCCAGUUUGUACUGAAAAAAUUUAUGUGUCGCUGAAUCUUAAUAUAUCUCGCAAAGAAUAAAGUUUACCAUGACCGAGAUCCAGUAUCGGAUGCUGUAACCAUGCUUCUUGCAUUGAGAAGUGUGAAAUCACAUCCUUAUCUGAAAACAAUUAUUUCAUCUCUGUUCCAAACAAAGAAAAGUUAUUAGUUUUAAAACAUGUGGUGGUUGUUUUGUGGCAUUCAACUUUUGAAGUAGCCGCUCUCGCACUUGCCAUGCUCAACUCUUUUCCAAUCCAUGAUAAUAUUUAUUGAAUUGUCAUACUUCUGACUCAGAAUUCUGACUACUGAGAUCCUCAACUCAAAUCAUAUUUUUGUUGUAUGAUGCUUCUGAGUUUAGCUUCCGAUACAUCCUUUAGAUUUUCACGAGUUUAAAAUGGUUAAAUCACAAUCAUCUUGAGUACCUUACUUUUACUUUGAAACGUUGUCUCUGUUCAUCGACCAUUUGUCUUGCUUUGUACCCUUAAAGGAGUUGGUAGCGAGUUUGAAGUCAUUUCUCACUCGACCUGAUGUGAAUUUGACUCAAAAGACAACAAAAUUUUUUCGUUUGAUGACAAAGACACAAAAAAUAAAAAAUUAAAAUAAAACAAAAAGAACAAGACAAUAGGCAUCUCUUUUUCAAAACAAAGAGAAAACUUAUCUGAAUGUGGAAAUCGAUUCUGGUGAUUAUGACAUGCAUUUUGAAUCAAACAAUCAGAUCUACCCACACCGAUCAUUACAACUUUUGUUUACUUAUUGAGCUUGAAAUUAAGCCAAUCUUGAACUUGUUCCUUCUUGAUAACAACCUUUCUUCGGCUAGUGGCACCUUAUUGGAUUUUUGCCAAUGAGCUUAUCUCCUUUUCAUUUUUGUCUUAGCUCACAGUCGUCUUAUGGUGCCCGAAAGGAUUUUCACCAACAAGUCUCUCUCAUUUUCAUUUUUUCAUUCAUUUUUUUAAAUAAAUAAACACCUAACAUAUGAAAUAUCAUGCACUCAUAACAUGUUUAGCCUUGACAUUCUCAAAAACUAAUCUGAAGGUCUUUCUUUGAUUGUAACUUGGCUUUUGGAUAGGGUUAGAAAGAAAGGUCGGCAUGAGGCUCAAAAAAUUUAUAUAACAUUGGGUGAAACAUACAAUUUUUGGAAUCGAUUCUUUUAAGAAAAUAAAUUUUUGUCCCAGUUUCAUUUCAUUUUGGGUAAUUUGAAUUUUCUUCUGGUUAGACCGAACCCCGAAGAAGGGCUGCCUACGUAUCUUGUAAUAGCAAGAAUCAGGUCAAACGUAGUUCAGGAAACACUAUUCUUUUGCUUGAUUUUGAAUUUUUGAUUGAUUUCUUCUUUUUUUUUUCUAUUUUUUUUUACUUUAAUUUGAUUCCAAAAGAGGGGUAAUAAGAAAAAUAAAAGCUCAAAGAGAUAAGCAAAGGUUGAUAUAUUAUUCGGAUAGUAGAACAAAAUGCCUUCAUCAUUUCAAUCUUUAAAAAUAUAAGUACAAAACAUACAUAACAUAAUUGUACAUGAAUAUCAUAUAUAAUAUCUUUUAAAUGCAUCAGCAUUGAUCGACAUUUCUUCCAUUUUUCCUUCUACAUCAGUCAAAUAUAAUGCUCCAUUAGGUAACACUUUCUUCACCAUGAAUGGCCCAUGCCAAUUAGGAGAAAAUUUGCCUUUGGCUUCAAUCUGAUGAGGUAGAAUGUGUCUUAGUACCAACUGACCAACUUCACAAUGUCUGUGACGCACCUUUUUGUUAUAUGUUCAUGCCAUUCUCUUCUGGUAUAGUUGUCCAUGACAUACUGACAUCAAUAUUUUUUCAUCAAUCAAGCUUAAUUGCUCCAAACGAGUCUUGACCCAUUGGUCUUUAUCAAUUUCAGCUUCCACAACUACUCGAAGAGAUGGAAUCUCAAUCUCUGCAGGUAUAACUGCUUCAGUUCCAUACACCAACAAGUAAGGAGUUACACCAAUUGAAGUUCGAAUUGUAGUACGAUAACCCAACAAAGCAAAAGGUAACUUUUCAUGCCAUUGUCGGGAACCCUGUACCAUCUUACGGAGUAUUUUCUUUAGGUUCUUGUUGGCAGCUUCUAUAGCCCUAUUUGACUUUGGGUGAUAAGGAGUAGAAUUUACAUGCAUAAUCUUAAAUUGUUGGCACACUUCUUGCAUCAAAUAACUGUUGAGAUGUGCAGCAUCAUUGGUGACAAUUAUCUAUGGAAUGCCAAACCGAUAAAUGAUGUUGGAGUGAAUAAAAUCAACCCCUACUUUUUGGGUCACUGACUGGAAAGUCGUUGCUUCCACCCACUUCAUGAAAUAAUCAAUGGCUACCAAGAUGAACCUAUGUCAAUUCGAGGCCUUCAGUUUAAUUGGUCCAAUUACGUCCAUUCCCUAAGCCACAAAAGGCCAUGGAGCAGUCAUUGUAUGUAACUCAGAUGGAGGAGAAUGUAUUAAGUCUCCGUGUACUUGGCAUUCAUGACAUUUUCAAAUGAAACUGAUGAAAUCUCGCUCCAUGGUGAGCCAAUAAUAGCCUGCUCGGAGUAUUUUCUUUGCCAAAACAUACCCACUCAUGUGUGGUCCACAAAUCUCAGAAUGUACUUUAGUCAUGAUUUUUGAAGCUUCUUUAACAUCUACACAUCUCAGAAGUCCCAAAUCAGGAGUCCUCUUAUACAAGAUUCCUCCACUUAAGAAAAAUCCACUAGACAAACGUCAAAUGGUUCUCUUUUGAUUACCAUCAGCAUGUACAGGAUAUUUCCCAGUCUGAAUAUAUUCUUUGAUAUCAUCGAACUCGGUUCCCCAUCAAGUUCUUCUUCAACCACAUUGUAAUAUGCAUGUUGAUCAUAAAUCUGUAUAUGCAAAAGGUCAAUAUAAGUUUUGUCGGGAUGUUGAAGCAUCAAAGAUAAGGUCGCCAAAGCAUCAGCAAUCUCAUUAUAAGCUUUGGGAAUGUGUUUGAACUUCACUGAUACAAAUCGUUGACAAAUAUCUUGCAAACAACCUCUAUAUGGUAGGAGUUUGGAAUCACAAGUCUCCCAAUCUCCUUGGAUUUGGUGGACUAAUAAAUCCGAAUCUCCUAAUACCAACAGUUCUUGGACUCCUAUUUCAAUGGAUAAUCUCAAUCCCAGAAUGCAAGCUUCGUAUUCUGCCAUAUUAUUGGUACAGUAAAAUCAAAGUUGGGCUGUUAUAGGAUAAUAUUGUCCUGAUUCAGAAAUAAGAACUGCUCCUAUCCCCACUUCUUUUACAUUAGCAGCUCUAUCAAAGAACAACUUCCAACCUGAAUGGCAUUCUUCAAAAACAAACUCAUUAACAUACAAUACCUCUUCAUCUGGAAAAUAAUUCUUCAAUGGCUCAUACUCCUCAUCUAUAGGAUUUUUAGCCAAAUUAUCUGCUAACGCUUGAGCUUUCAUUGCAGUUUAUGUCACAUAAACAAUAUCAAACUCUGUGAGCAACAUCUGCCUGUGGGCAUAGGCUUCUGGAAAAUGUACUUUAAAAGAUCCAUACGAGAGAUAAGGUAAGUAGUAUAAGAUGACAAGUAAUGUUUCAGCUUUUGGGCUACCCAAGUUAAGGCGCAACAUGUCUUCUCAAGAAGAGUGAACUUAGCCUCAUAAAUGGUAAACUUUUUGCUAAGGUAGUAUAUGGCCUGUUCUUUUCUUCCUGUAACAUCAUGUUGACCCAAUACAUAGCCGAAAGAACUGUCUAACACUGACAUGUACAAUAUCAAGGGUCUGCCUAGCUAUGGAGGAACCAAGAUAGACAAAUUCGACAAGUACUUCUUAAUUCUGUCAAAUGCCUCUUGACAUUCUUCAGCCCAUUCAACUUUAUCAUUCUUCUUCAAUAACUUGAAUAUUGGCUCGCAGGUUGUCGUAAGCUGAGCAAUAAAUCUACUGAUAUAAUUUAACCUUCCAAGUAAACUCAUCACCUCUGUUUUGUUCUUUGAUGGAGGUAAAUCUUGAAUAGCUUUUAUUUUUGAAGGAUCUAACUCAAUGCCGUGCCGACUGACUAUAAACCCUAAGAGUUUUCCCGAUGGAACUCCAAAUACACAUUUCACUAGGUUAAGUUUGAGAUCAUACCUCCGAAGCCUUCAAAGAAUUUUCUCAAAUCCUUGACAUGCUCAGACUGCUCUUUUGAUUUAAUGAUCACAUCGUCCACAUAAACUUUAAUCUUUUUGUGCAUCAUGUCGUGAAAUGUUGUAGUCAUUGCCCUUAUGUAAGUUGCCCCAGCAUUCUUUAGUCCGAAAGGCAUGAAUCGAUAACAAUAUAUCCCCCAUGGAGUAAUAAAUGAUGUGUUUUCCGUAUCUUCUUGAUCCAUAAUGAUUUGGUGAUACCCCGCAUAACAAUCCAAAAAAGACGCAAGAUCAUGUUUGGCACAAUUGUCCAACAAAAUAUGAAUAUUAGGAAGUGGAAAAUUAUCUUUCAGACUUACUUUAUUUAGAUCACGAUAAUCAACACACAUCCAAACUUUUCCAUCCUUCUUUGGAACAGGGACAAUAUUUGCCAACCAAGUAGGAUAUUGGGCCACUCGAAUGACUUUAGACUCUAGUUGCUUCGUGAUUUCCUCUUUGAUUUUUACACUCAUGUCAGUUUUAAGCUUUCUUAGCUUUUGCUUGACUGGAGGAAAAGCAGGAUCGAUUGGUAAUUUGUGAACUACCAAAUCAGUGCUCAAACAGGGCAUAUCAUCGUAAAACCACACAAAGAUAUCCUUAUAAUCAAGAAAAUUUUCAAUUAUAACUUUCUUUUGUUGUGGUUGAGCAUGUACACUUAUCUUAGUCUCCCUAAUAUUUUCAAUUAUCUCCUAAAUUGAUCGCCUCAGUUUCUUCCGAAUUGGGAUUUGUCUUAUUCUCAAACUGUUUGAAAUCUUUGUGUAUAUCCUCAAAUGCUUCUUCUUCAUCAUAUUUAACUUCUUUAUUUAUUAUUUCAUAAUUAGAUUAGGUUUUUAAAUCUGGUUGAUAAUUCUUUAUGCAUGUCAUAUCAUUAGAAUUGGCAUAGAAAGAACUGUAUGAUAGAAAAUAAAUAAAUAAAAAUCAAACUCAAAAUAAAACGAAGGGAAAAUACGCUUUAUUAAAAACAUAGAUAGAAAGAGUUUUAACCUAAAAUACCAAGUUAAAGUUCUAAAUUACAAUCCUAGAAUGAUUCAAAUUACAGGAGUAAAAACAAACAAACUACUAAGACUGUAAGAAAAACAAACAAACUACCAAGACUCUUUUAUAAUAGGGAGAGGAGUGACUUUCUAAUUGUUAAGCGGGAUAUCAGGGCCGACAAACUACACAUCUGCAUUGCUGGUACCUUCCCCAAUUUCAACAAUAUCAGCUUCAAUGAACAUAUUCUAAAAAAGGCCAAUCAACUUUGUAUUAUCACCAUUCAUUGAUUCUGCAGCAGGUAACUUGGGGGAUCCAACAAUACUUAAUUUGAUGAAGGACUCGUGAAGUGGCGAUAUCGGCUUGGUAAGUGGCCAUGACUCUUUCUUAUGCUUUGUAUCCUUCUUUAUAUCUUUAACAGUAGGCUCGUAUCCUAAACAAAAAGUACCAAAGUUCUCAUAGAGGUUUACCGGAUGAACUAUACCUUGCAAAAACAUCCCUAGACCUUUUUCUAGUUCGAAGUCAUGCUUCAACAUUUCAUUCACUACCAUAACAGAUACAGAGGAAAAUUGUGGUCUUACGAUGAGAUUCCCCUCGAGGAUAUGCUCAAUAGCCACUACCUCAGAAGUCUGAUGAAUUAACACAUUAUCUGCAACAUCUUUUUCGAUGGAGGAAACAAAGUAGUCUUUAUACGUGGAUAAAUCUCUUUCACCAUGAACAAUUAUUUCUUUCCUGUGAUGUUUAAAUUUAACCAUUUGAUGCAAUGUUGAUGCGGCUGCUUUAGCCCUAUGAAUCCAUGGCCUUCCCAAUAACAUAUUAUAUGAAGUUUCAAUGUUCAGCACUUGGAAAUUCGUAGCAAACUCCACAGGUUCAAUUGUCAAUAUGAACUCUAUUUCACCAAUGGCAUCAGUUUUUGAUCCAUCAAAACCUUUGACGCAUACAUUAUUAGGUUGGAUCCUUUCCACAUUAGCAUUUAACUUUUAAAAAGUAGACAUAGGACAAAUAUUAGCGCCUGAUCCUCCAUCAAUUAAAACUCGAGUGUCGAUGGAAUGUUCACAUUUCACAAAAAUGUACAGACUUUUGUUAUGCUCAGUACCUUCCAUAGGCAAUUCAUCGUCUGAGAAAGUAAUUUUAUUUGCUUCAAGGAUCCUUCCAACAACUUUUUUCAGCUGAUUCACUCUAAUCUCACUGGGAACACAUGCUUAAUUAAGAAUUUUCAUUAUAGCCUUGCAGUGUUCCACUAAAUGUAUUAAUAAAGACAAUAAAGAAAUCUGUGCUGGUGUAUUCUUCACUGUUCUACAACAGAAUAUUCUGGCAAUUUCAUUUUCUUUAAGAAUUCUUCAGCUUCUUCAUCAGUGAACAGAUUUUUGAAUGUCAUUCAUUCUUCACCGCCUUGUUUAUUCUUUCUUAACUCUACUAGAGCAUAACAUCUUUCAGAUCGAGUUAAUCCCCUACUUUAUCUAUAUCUUCAGUCACUUCUUUCCCCUUGUGCAUGACCACAACGCGAUCAUAAUUCCAAGAGAUUGCCUUGGUAUCAACCAUAUGCAGUUAUGACACUGGUUUAAUAAUAACAGGAGCUGCGGGAGCUCCUUUUAUGAUUAAAAGAGGCUUAUUGGAUAUUUUGGGAAUAAUGAGUUUCGGCUUUAUUUGACUUGACCCAAUAUUUUCUGAAAUCUCUUUCCCCACCACCAAGGGAGCAUUCGAUGAUUCAGGUUUUGUUAUCACUACCUCUGCUUCUGCAGGCUUUUCUUUUGUCAAAUCCACAGCAUUUGCUGAUUUUUCUGAAUCAGUUUUAAUUUUAAUGAUCGACUUGAAGGAAAUCGUAACAUCUUCACCACUGAGUAUCACUUCUAGCCUGUUUGUUUCAUUAUGAUCUGGCAGUAGAAUUUGAUUGAUAUUUGGAGCAUCUGGACUUUCUACCAAGAUCUGUUGGGUAUUGAUCAACUCUUGAAUGGCUCUUUUCAGAUACCAACAUUUCUCUGUGUCGUGCCCUAGGGCAUCAGAACAAUAUUCACAUCUUCUAGAAUAGUCCAAGUUUUUCGUUGGAGGAUUCAGGAUCCUUUUCUUAAUGGAUUUAGAACAUUCAUUUUUCUCAGCCUAUGAAAUAAACUGGUGUAAGAUAUUCCAAUAGGAGUGAAAUUAUAUUUUACUAUGUUAUUCCUUUUGAAUUCUGCUCUAGGCCGAAAAUUAAACCUAGGAGGGCCUCUUUUAAUUUGCGGGGCUAUUAGAUGAUUUUGGAUUGCUGGUGUAUGCCACUACGGGUAAGAAGGAGCCCGAGCAUAUGGUUGUGCAUUGUAAAUAGGAUAUUGGGGGGAUGGAAUGAAAUAUAUUGGAUUCUGUGCGUAUGGUUGAUGCGCACCUCUCCAAUUUUGUCGUGGACCUGUCACGACAGUUGCUACAUCCUCUUUUCUUUUCUUUUCCCCGAAAUUUUCUGUACCACUUUGAAUUGCCUGUGCUGUUUCUUUUAAAGUGGUCUGGCUGAUAAUCUUUCCUGGCUUGAUUCUAUUUUCUACCAUCUCUCCAACUUUGAUAACUUUGGCAAAUAUGCUUCCGAUAGUAGAGAGCAAAUGAUGGAAAUAAUCAGGCUCUUGUGCUUGCAGAAAAAUAUCAAUCAUUUCAGAUUAUUUUAUCGAUGGUCUAACUCUUGAAGCCCGCUCUCUCCAUUUGAUGGCAUAUUCUCAUAAAUUUUCGGUCAUCGUUUUUCUCAUGUUGGCAAGCGUAGUUCGAUCUGGCACUAUCUCAAUGUUAUAUUGAAAUUGUUGAAUGAAAUCCCAAGCCAUGUCAUCCCAUACAUGCCAACGGAAAAUGUCUUGAUCAAUGAACCAUUCAGAAGCUAUCCCUGUAAGGAUUUCUCCAAAGUAAGCCAUCAAUAAUUCUUCUUUUCCUCCUGCUCCCCUUAAUUGAUUGCAAAAAAUUUUCAAAUGAGCUACAGGAUGGCCGUGUCCUUCAUAUUUGUCAAACUUUGGCAUUUUAAAUCGGUAAAUGGACAUCAGGAAACAUACAUAAAUCCUUUUAUGAAACACUUUUUGGUCCACCUAAUCCUUGCAUAUUUCUCAUACUCUGCUCCAAGCUUCUAACUUUUCUAGCCAUCUCCUCUUCUUCCUCAUUCUUAGCAAUCUUCUCAAUCACGAUAGACGUAUUGUGUUGAUGAACAUGAUAAGGUGGAUUUUGGGAUUUGAAAGUCAUUUCAGGAGGAUAUAACAUAUCAUGACUUGGUUUUCCCAUAUUCUUUGGCACUGUCGGUUGAGUACCCGCAGUACCUGGUGCUACAGAAGUAAAAAACGGGCUAUUUGUGAUAAACAGAUUUGGUGGGUGCAUGGUAGAAGUACCAACAACUCCAGACAUAUUAGCAAAUGGGGUAAAUCCUGGUGAGUAAAAUGGAUCACUAGUUCGAGCUGGGUCAGAAUUUGGAUCAUUCGAAGUUGAAAGUCCAGGGAUUGAAGUAGGCGGGGCUUGUCCAUUCAACCAAGCUUGGUACAUCUCUGUCAUCUGUUUUUUCAAUGACUUUAUUUCUUCCAUUGAUGCUACUUCCUGCGAAAUCAACUGAUUUUGCUCUUCUUCAUUGUCAGACCCUAUACCUUCUCUGCGGGUCAUUUUCUUUUACCCUUGUAUCUAGUAUUAUACGAAUGUGAUGCCAGUUUAAACCACAAACCAACUACCAAUUACUUUAUCUUUCUGUAACCAAGUAGCAAAUGGGUGAGUGAUAUAUUUUUAAUGCAUUAUAAUGCCAAGUUAUAUGUCAUGCUUCUAUAUGCAUUUUCCAACCUAUCAUGGAAGACUUUGUGUUUCAUCCCGGCUUUUCUUGGCAUAUUUUUUUUCAAAAGUUAUGAUCAAACCCUUUGGAGGGUUUCCUACGUAUCAUGCCAGGACAUGAAUCAGAUCUUACGUAGUUCGAAAAAAAUUAACAAAAUGAUUUUGUCUCUUUUUAUUAUUAUUUUUAUUAAAGAAAAUAAAUAAAGUAAGUAAAGUAAAACAUAUGUAAUAUAUUUAGAAAUAAAUAGUCAUCUUCAUUACAUUCCCUAAUAUAAAUACGACAACAUAACCGACCCAAAUUCUAAGAUAAGACCCACCAACUGACAUCUGACAAAUAAAACUAAAAGACAUAACAUCUAAACAAGAAGUUUCAAAACUGAAAAUGAAAAACUAUAACAAAGAAAACAACUAUCCAUUCAGGGAGACUUCGGCUUGAUAUGUCCUCCCAAACUCAAGUAUAUGUCCUCCAUUGAGGUAGUGAGACGUUGUGCGAAAGCUGGUACUUGUGCCAAAAAGUCCUCACAAUCCAACUACUGAUAAUCCAAACCCAUUCUGGCAGUAUCUAGUGCUACACGGCGGGCCUUCCCUCGAAGGGAACUAAAGGCCUGAUCCCAUUCCUGGCCUAUCGAUCUUGAAAAUCAACCAUCUCUCUUGCACGCUGUUCGCGAGCAGGCAACCUCUAAUUGUUCUUGCAAUAUUCCUCUUUCACGAAUCCAUUGAGAUCUCUCUCGAUCAAAUUCUUCUUACAUGUUCUUUUCAACUUCUUGUAGUUGCUGUCUGCGAGAUGCAGCGAGUUCUGCAAUGUGUGACCCUCUAGUGGUAGCCAGUUUGAUUUGUCCCCGAAGUGCAGCCUCUAUAUCUGCUGAUUUAGCUUUCUCUUCAUCAAAUUCCCUUUGUUGUUCGUCUAUUUUUGCCUUGGCAUGCUCUAAUUCUGCUCUCAAAGCUUGGUUGGCCUUAUGAUGUUCUCACAUGGCUCUCUCAAUUCCUAUUCUGAUUGCAGUUUCCUGAUCUAUAGGUCCCCUAACUGAUAUUUCUGGUCUGACUGGCAGACUUGACUGUUCUUCAAACUAUUCAUGAUAACCUGGGUGUACUUCUCCUUUCUCACGCUCUAUGACCAUCGUUUCAAUCCCUAUGAUAUGGCAACCUUCCCAAAUCUGCUGGGCCAAUUCCUCCAGAAGUGGGAUCUCUGGUUUGACCUCAAAUAGAAACUCGGUCAUAUUUUCCGUAAUGGGAAUUAUUUGACGUCUUCCAAGAUGACGUAAAACUCUCAAUGGAACAUAUGGUUGAACACCCCUAAUACCCAUUAAUAAUAAGAACGGCCGAAUUACAAAACUGUGUAUGACUUGCCUCCAAGGGAACCAAGGGAGAUUCCAAGUGAUUUUAUCUGCUGUCAGAGAACGAAAAAGCUUAUCCCAAUCUCUAACUCCUUCUGGGCAUUUAUAUUUCUCUAACCUCUCUUUGUAAUCUUUGAUGCGAUUGAAUCUUUUCUGACUAAAUCUUGCCAUUAUAGGACGUCGGUAAAGAUACUCCACAAUCCACAUCUGUAACAAGAUAUUACAUCCCUCGAAAAAACUCUUUCCUUUCUGACAAACAGUCAAAGCAUGGUAGAUAUCUGUCAGGAUCAUUGGCACCAUAGUGUAAUCUUUCUUAAUCAGUAUCUUUACCACUCCUGCUAAAUGAAUGUUAAUUUUUUGUUCUCUUCUUGGGAAGACCAUAGUGCCUAAAAAGGCUACCAUGAAUGCAAAUCGUCUGUGAACCUUCUACGCCUCAAAAUUCCCCUUAUUACAGAGCUGCUUACCAUACUUUUUGAACCCCUCUUGCCUUUCGUAUCUAUCGUACGAAACUGCAGGGAAACCCAACCUUUUUUCAUCGAUUCUUCUUUUGAAUUCCUUAUGUUCAUGAGUUUGCAGAAUUUGUUUAUCGAAAUGAGUCUUGGGGCUAUAAGUUUCUUUCGAUGUAUAUCCCCAUAUCCAACAUAGGCCGCUAUCUCCUCUACAGUAGGAGUCAACUCAAAAUUCAAAAAAUGAAACACAUUGUUCUUCGGGUCCCAGAAGGUUAGUAACGCAUCAAUCACCUCCCUAUUAGGCUUUAUUUUCAUAAUACUCGUCAAAAAACCCAAAUACUUAUGUAUUUCGUCAUAAUCAAUUGUAUCUAUUUAGUUCCACCACAACCAAAGCUGCAAACAGGUAUAAUCCAUAACCUGAAGUGGUACACUCCCAUCUCUCUUUCUCUUUGGACGCUUUCCACGAACAGGGGAAGAUAUUUUAUACCUAUUGGCAAGGACAUAAAAUUAAUAAAUGUCUAGAUUUAGGCUGAAAUUAAUUCAUUAAUUUUUGAAAAGAAUUUUUUAAGUUGACUUGAGAACUAUGACUGAUAAUAUAUUUAGAAAAACCAUUUAUUUAAGUUGACUCUUAUAAAUUUUUUUUGCAAUAACAGACCUCUAGACAAUUUUAACUAUAUAUUUGGAGACAUUACCUCCCUAAAUACACUUAAGAGAACAAAAAUAAAAUAAAAUAAUUUGGAAAAUAAAGAAAAAUAGAAUGAUCAUUUCAUGUAUGAAGUGAAGUUGUAUAAAAUUCUAGUCUCACGACCCCUAAAGGUUUAGGACUAUUAAAAUAUAUGUUUACAUAUUUUAUUACUUUAAAAAAAUUCAGCUCACAACCCCUAAAGGUUCAGGCUAUUAUGAUUUUGAUGUUAAAAUUAAUUUUGAAAAUAAGAAUGAAAAGUAAAAUAAAGAUAAUAAUAUUCAUGAAAACAAUCAUUUUUAUUAUUAUUAUUUAUUUUAUUAUUUUUCUAAAAGUAUCCUUCGAUAAAUCUGUCAAUAAAUAUAUUAUUAUUAUUUUUCAAAUAAAUGGUCGUAUCCUGGGUAGGACUUCCUACGUAUCUCACAAAAAGUGAAAAUCAGACCCUCGUAGUUCAUGAAAACUCUAAAGUAUAUUAUUCUAUAUUUAAAAUUUUCCUCCUUUUUUUUAAUAAAAUCUUCCUUUGAAAAAUAAUUCACUAAAUUUGAGGAUAAUAUAACCUUUUGCAUUUUAAAGUUGCUUAAAAACCGGUCAACAAUAAAAUAAGCCUUCCAAAUAAAUGUCAAAGAGCACGUAGGAUGCACAUGUUGGUCUUUAUAAAUUAGGUCACCUGUCCUAGACGACCCUGCACCUGUGCCGAGUUCCGCUAAGUCAAAUGCAUAUGAUGCAAAUAAAGCGGCACCUAAUAGGGAUAACCAGAUUCUGAGUUUUCAGUUCUUCUAAGUUUAAACCUAAUAGGGAUAGGUGUCUACACUAGCUUGCCCGAGCGGACACUUGAGCCGACGAGGGACAACUUGGUCGGUAGUAGGUUGUCAAUCCGAACUCCGCCUAACAUGUGUGACUAUAUCCUUCACCAGGUGCCUUGACACUCUGGCUACCUCAAAAAGAAGGUGGGAUGCAUAUGUUGUAUUCCCUCUACCUAUUUCAGAGACUCAAAAGGGGUACGCGAGAGAAGACAAUAUAUAAUACAGUUCAAAUAAUAUCAAAGUAGUAAAUGAGCAACAAGUAGCACAUAAGGCCAAUAAACACAAUAUCAAAAUAAUUAAAGCAAGUAAAAGCCAAUAUCCAAAGCUCGAAUUAUAGUAUUUCCCCAGCGGAGUCGCCAGAGAUGUCACACCCCUUUUCGCCCGAAGGGAUCGAGGUCGAAGGUUGAAAGGUUUUUCCAAUUAAAGUGACGGUAUUGAAUAGGGAUUAUUUUUAAUUAAAGAGUCACCACUUGAAAUUGAGUUAUGAUUUUCCAAGUCACCUUUUUGAAUCCCUAAUCAAAAGGAAAUGACUCUUUAUUUUGGUUUGCGAAAACAGAAGACGGGUAAGGAGUUCUGUUGACCGAGGAAAAGGUAUGAGGCACCUCUCGAGUCCCGUAGUUCUAGCACGGUCGUUUUUACUGACUUAUCUUGUGUUAAACUAUUUUGAUGAAUUCUGUUAAGGCCAAAAAUCACUUAUUUUAUCAUACUAAAACUCGUCUGUUAUUUUAUAUUAAAUAAAUCAGUGAAAGUUAAAAAAUAUUUGUCAAAUUAAUUUUAAAAAAAUAUUUAUCAAGGUGCAUUAUUGCAUCAUUAAAUUUUAAAAUGUCUCAAAAAGAUGUGUACGCCGCAUUCUUAUUUGAGACGAAACUAUAUUAAGCGUGUUAAAAAUUAACUAGUAUUAAAAAUGUUCAUUCAUUAUUUGUAAAUUCAUAAUAACUAUUUGUUUUUAAUGAUAAACUAAGCAAUUUUUUACUUAAAGUGAUAAGUUAAUUUAAUAAACAAUUAUCAAUUUUGUUAAUAAAUAUAAAAUAAAAUAAAAUAAAAUGUCAUAUAAUAAACAAAUAAAUAAAGUAAUAAAGUAAUAAAAAUAAUAAUAAUAAUAAUAAUACCUAAAAAGAAAACUAACUAUGUAAUACUAAAUAUUAUAAUCUCUAAAUCUAACAUUAUUUAAUUUAAACAAAUAAAUAAUAAUAAUAGUAAUAAAUUAACACAUAUAUAAAUAAAUAAUAGUAACAGUUUUGGAUUCCAACCAUUUGUAACAUUUUCCUUUUUUAAAAGUUUAUACAUAAAUAAUGUUCAUCUAUUUUUUUAGAGUCAUAACAGCAACAUUUCUCCGUGGAACGUCGGCAACGGAGUAAUGACUGGGAGUGGGAAAAGGGGAAAGAGGGGCGGCACUUGGUUCGCCAGCGGCUGAUCGGCGGAAGGUCGCCAGCGACGGAAAAGGGAAGACGGCGCUGAUCGAUUUUGCGGCUGUUUUCUGGUGGUUAUCCACCGGAUCUGGAGCAAAAGGAGAUCGGAUGUGAUCAUGGCUUGCCUGCGACGACCAGAUCUAUGAGAAGAGAGAGAUCUCGUAGAUUUUUUACCAUUUUCUGACGAAGAGGGUUACCGAAAUCGCGAUGAGAUGGACUAAUUUUGGGUUGAUUACCACGGUUUCCAGCGAGUUGGUUCGCCGGUGGAAAAGGUCGACUGGUUUUUGAGUGGUUUCCGGUGAGUUUCUCGCCGGAAAAUUUAAAAAUUGCUAAUUUCUCUCAUACUCCAUUUAACUAUUGACUUUCCUAUUUCUCUCUUGAUUUGUUUUCACGAGUUUUUGAUUAUCACUCACCAUUCACUAUUUUCUACUUUUUCUUUAUUUUAGUGUGUAUGGAAAUCAGUGAGGUCUGUGAAUAUGUGUGUGUACCGUGUAUUAUUUUGUACUACUUUUAUAUGUGCUAUAACGUUCAUAUAUCAGUACAAACUAUUUCUGAUCUGGUUUACAUGAUUUUAAAUAAAAAUUUAAACUCUACUCAUUUGAAUCAUCAUUUUUACACAAUAAAAAUAUUUAAAUAAUCAGAUAUACAAUAUAACUUAUAAUCACAAUCAUAUCAAUAAUCGAAUUCUUGCAUAUUGAAUGAUACAUGAAGUCACUGAAGUUACUGUAUUAACAUUUAUGAAAGAACAGUACAAAAGUGGAUAAGAACCUGUUGAUAAAUUAAAACAGAAACUCGCACUGUCACCGGAAAUUCGAACAGACUUCAAUUUCAAUGUUUUUCCUUUUCUCCUUUUGUUUCUGAUGUUUACUUUUUUUUUUUUUAUGUUGGUUUUCUAUUUUUUUUUCACUCUCUUUUGUUCUCCCUUUUCUAAUGAAUGAAUUUAUGAUUUUUUUUUGUCUUUGUUUGAUGUCGUCCUCUCUUUUUUAUAUGGGCAGAGAGUCAACGGUUAAAAGCAGAUAAGGGGAGGGGGA